rnacentral:rRNA from 1 species
GGAUGAACGCUAGCUACAGGCUUAACACAUGCAAGUCGAGGGGCAGCAUUUUAGUUUGCUUGCAAACUAAAGAUGGCGACCGGCGCACGGGUGAGUAACACGUAUCCAACCUGCCGUCUACUCUUGGACAGCCUUCUGAAAGGAAGAUUAAUACAAGAUGGCAUCAUGAGUCCGCACGUUCACAUGAUUAAAGGUAUUCCGGUAGACGAUGGGGAUGCGUUCCAUUAGAUAGUAGGCGGGGUAACGGCCCACCUAGUCUUCGAUGGAUAGGGGUUCUGAGAGGAAGGUCCCCCACAUUGGAACUGAGACACGGUCCAAACUCCUACGGGAGGCAGCAGUGAGGAAUAUUGGUCAAUGGGCGAGAGCCUGAACCAGCCAAGUAGCGUGAAGGAUGACUGCCCUAUGGGUUGUAAACUUCUUUUAUAAAGGAAUAAAGUCGGGUAUGGAUACCCGUUUGCAUGUACUUUAUGAAUAAGGAUCGGCUAACUCCGUGCCAGCAGCCGCGGUAAUACGGAGGAUCCGAGCGUUAUCCGGAUUUAUUGGGUUUAAAGGGAGCGUAGAUGGAUGUUUAAGUCAGUUGUGAAAGUUUGCGGCUCAACCGUAAAAUUGCAGUUGAUACUGGAUAUCUUGAGUGCAGUUGAGGCAGGCGGAAUUCGUGGUGUAGCGGUGAAAUGCUUAGAUAUCACGAAGAACUCCGAUUGCGAAGGCAGCCUGCUAAGCUGCAACUGACAUUGAGGCUCGAAAGUGUGGGUAUCAAACAGGAUUAGAUACCCUGGUAGUCCACACGGUAAACGAUGAAUACUCGCUGUUUGCGAUAUACAGCAAGCGGCCAAGCGAAAGCGUUAAGUAUUCCACCUGGGGAGUACGCCGGCAACGGUGAAACUCAAAGGAAUUGACGGGGGCCCGCACAAGCGGAGGAACAUGUGGUUUAAUUCGAUGAUACGCGAGGAACCUUACCCGGGCUUAAAUUGCAGAUGAAUUACGGUGAAAGCCGUAAGCCGCAAGGCAUCUGUGAAGGUGCUGCAUGGUUGUCGUCAGCUCGUGCCGUGAGGUGUCGGCUUAAGUGCCAUAACGAGCGCAACCCUUGUUGUCAGUUACUAACAGGUUCCGCUGAGGACUCUGACAAGACUGCCAUCGUAAGAUGUGAGGAAGGUGGGGAUGACGUCAAAUCAGCACGGCCCUUACGUCCGGGGCUACACACGUGUUACAAUGGGGGGUACAGAGGGCCGCUACCACGCGAGUGGAUGCCAAUCCCCAAAACCUCUCUCAGUUCGGACUGGAGUCUGCAACCCGACUCCACGAAGCUGGAUUCGCUAGUAAUCGCGCAUCAGCCACGGCGCAGUGAAUACGUUCCCGGGCCUUGUACACACCGCCCGUCAAGCCAUGGGAGCCGGGGGUACCUGAAGUGCGUAACCGCGAGGAGCGCCCUAGGGUA